GAUGAACGCUGGCGGCGUGCCUAAUACAUGCAAGUCGAGCGAACGGACGAGAAGCUUGCUUCUCUGAUGUUAGCGGCGGACGGGUGAGUAACACGUGGAUAACCUACCUAUAAGACUGGGAUAACUUCGGGAAACCGGAGCUAAUACCGGAUAAUAUUUUGAACCGCAUGGUUCAAAAGUGAAAGACGGUCUUGCUGUCACUUAUAGAUGGAUCCGCGCUGCAUUAGCUAGUUGGUAAGGUAACGGCUUACCAAGGCAACGAUGCAUAGCCGACCUGAGAGGGUGAUCGGCCACACUGGAACUGAGACACGGUCCAGACUCCUACGGGAGGCAGCAGUAGGGAAUCUUCCGCAAUGGGCGAAAGCCUGACGGAGCAACGCCGCGUGAGUGAUGAAGGUCUUCGGAUCGUAAAACUCUGUUAUUAGGGAAGAACAUAUGUGUAAGUAACUGGGCACAUCGUGACGGUACCUAAUCAGAAAGCCACGGCUAACUACG
rnacentral:rRNA from 1 species